rnacentral:rRNA from 1 species
GAUGAACGCUGGCGGCGUGCCUAAUACAUGCAAGUCGAGCGAACAGAUAAGGAGCUUGCUCCUUUGACGUUAGCGGCGGACGGGUGAGUAACACGUGGGUAACCUACCUAUAAGACUGGAAUAACUCCGGGAAACCGGGGCUAAUGCCGGAUAACAUUUAGAACCGCAUGGUUCUAAAGUGAAAGAUGGUUUUGCUAUCACUUAUAGAUGGACCCGCGCCGUAUUAGCUAGUUGGUAAGGUAACGGCUUACCAAGGCAACGAUACGUAGCCGACCUGAGAGGGUGGUCGGCCACACUGGAACUGAGACUCAGUCCAGACUCCUACGGGAGGCAGCAGUAGGGAAUCUUCCGCAAUGGGCGAAUGCCUGACGGAGCAACGCCGCGGGAGUGAUGAAGAUCUUCGGAUCGUAAAACUCUGUUAUUAGUGAAGAACAAAUGUGUAAGUAACUGUGAACGUCUUGACGGUACCUAAUCAGAAAGCCACGGCUAACUACGUG